rnacentral:snRNA from 1 species
GUGCUCACUUUUGAACAGCACAUAUACCAAAACUGGAACUAUUUCAAGAGUUAUCUACCAUGGCCCCCCUGGCACAAGAUGACAAUCAUAUUUGUGAACAUUUUUAAAUUUUU